ensembl:lncRNA
ACAGGAGUUUUCUUUCCAAAUAACAUAUAAACAAAAGACAAACGAGGGGUUAAGGUUGUUAGGGAUUUAAGUAGUUGAGCACACCUAGUAGUAGAAAUUAUAAUACAUGUAGUAAUGUUUAGUGUUAGAAUUGUAGUUUGUGUGAUGUCAGAUGUUAGUUAUUACAUUAGCUUGUUAGAUGAAAUAAUUGCAAUAUGAAUCGAACACAAUUUGUAGUAAUUUAAGUCAUAUAAUUACUGUAAACAUUAAUAUCCUGUCACAAUGUGAUGUUAAAACCUGCGGACGGAUGCUAAUUCCUGUCCUUUAUGGAUUUCUCACAAUUUUCUCCCCAAAGAGUUUUUUUUGGGAGUUUUUCUCCUGUCAGGUAGUGAAUGAGCAAAGCGAGGCAAACAUUCUGAUUUUGGACCAUAUAGAAGUGAGUUAAACACAAUGGUGUUUAAGUAAGAUGUGAUUAAAUGUGAUGUUAUUCUACAUGCUAUGUUACGUUUACAUGAUGAAGCUUUAAGCCAAAGCUGUGACCAUUGAAUGUACUGUAGUAUUAAGUGAACAGGGAUCGGUCAGGUCACUGAGGGAUUUCAGAUUCCACCAUCAGACGGAGCCAGGAGGGAGUCAUGUGAUGCCUUGGAGAAGAAAGGAAUUCUCCAGGGAGGAGGUGGGCUCCGAUAUGCAGCCAAUCACAUACGACUGCAGCACAAGCGACAGACUCAAAAGUUAAUUGCUGAUCAGAUCAUGUUGUCAUCAUGAAUGCAGCAAAAUAGAUUUGUAUUUUUGAGACGAUUUGUAACCUUGAAUAUAAAAGCGAUAUUCCUUUUUUUAUUCAGCAAUGCAUUAUUACUAUUACUACGCUCUGGUUCGUACCUGGUGGGAGCCAAAUAGGUGGAAUGCAUUGGCCAAAUUGCAGUCUGGGAACCCACGGCUGUCACCUAACGAUGGUUUAGCUUUGGAUUUCACAAAAUGAACCAUUAAAUCAAUGUACACCAGCCGCCAGAGGCUGAAUUGUCCUCAGAGCAACAGCCAAUGGGUUCCGAGAUUGAUGAUGCAAUCAGAUGCAAUACAUGUGCACAGAGAUUUUAAUUUCAUUCUAUAGAACAAAGUGUAAAUGGUGUAUUGCAUACAUUUUAGUCUUCACUCAAAAGCCAUGUACGUAUGGCUGAGGCGUGAGCAGCACGUGCGGCUGAAUCGAAUUAAUAGUGUGAACGUUUUGGCCUCAUAAAGCCGGAGCUGUGUUUAUGCCAUCCUCAUUACGCGGCCUGCAAGUCUCCUCGCCCUGAGGUGUCUGAACCCGGGACUCACAUCGUAGAAAGUGGACACCGCGGCCGACCUCCUCGCCAGUUCGGGAGUUUUGAUAUCCACCAGUUUUAGCCUGCUGUCAUCUGAAGUUGAUGUUCAUGUUUUUGCUGAUGGCCAACAGGGCAUGCGGCGAAAUAUGAAACUGGAUUCCUCGGAUCCGGAGGGCAGGGUUCCUUGGAAUUACCUCCGCAUGUCCAGAACCACGCCUACUUGGGAUUAUCAUUUCACUCUUUGAUCAAGCCGUUCCAAAAUCGUUCACAAUCUAAGCGGUGAGCAAUUGCAGGGAAGUCGAAUUUUUAUCGGUAACUUUAUUUUACUCUCAGACUCCUUUCUUGUCCGAUUCAAACUCUCUCAGUGUCAGUUUAUGGGUGUAACACCGUGUCAUUCUCAAUGUGCUGUGCAAGACUUAAUAGACAUGGGAUACAUGCAUAUAUUCCAUCUAUUAACCAUUAUUAAGGUUAUUUAUUAGGCCUUAAAUGGUGCCACUAUCUCAAAUGGGAGGACUUUUUCUUUGUGUAAAAUCAUUGUAAAUUGAAUAUCUUUGGGUUCUGGAGUGUAGAGAAACACAUCAUUUUCAGCCUCGGGAAGUAAUACAUAAAUGAAUCAAUGGCAUAUAAUAGAAUCACUAGUCGCUGCCCUGCUUCCUCAUGCUGCUUUGAGUCAGCGCUGGAAUGACUGAGUCCAUGACACCAAUUAGAGCUUUAGUCAAUAAGCUAGACAAGAGUUUUUCUGCUGUGUCACUGUGUGUAACCUUACAUGAAAUGAUGUCCUGGGGUUUUACAUGCAUGAUGAAAAGCUAUAACACCAAAUGAAGCUGGUGAUGUUGGUGACUUUUACAUCAGCUUGAUUUUAUCUUACAUAUUAAUGCCAUUGCUGUCAAAGACAGUAACUCGUCUCCUUCAGAUUUGAAAUAGAUUUCCAUGCUCUACUAAGCAUCCAAAUCAUCCUAGAACUUUCCGCCUGUACAAAUAAUUUCAGUCGGAGCACGUUUUUCUUUUUUGGUUGUUUUCUUUGCAAGAAGAACCAUGUUUACACUGGCACUUACAAGGCCUCACUUGUUCACCAGCUCAGAAGUUUACUCAGUGUUAGCUCAAACAUUUUUUGUAGUUCACCUGCCAUGUUCCUACAUGUCAGAGUGAGCUUUACAACGUAAACAGACGGCUGAACCGUGUUCUCGGGUCACGCUGAGGCCGGUUGUGUCUGACAGCGUUUCUUAACUCGUAGCGUCCUUCAAAUACUUGUUCCUCCUCAUCAAUGCAUCUUCCCCCCCUUGUGAUCUCAGACAAGAAUCGUUCAAAGGACGUGGGUGGAUUUAAAGUCUGACGUGCUGAAGUUUAAAAUGAAUUUCUAAAUUUGUUGCUGGUGGAGACUUAUUUGCUCUUUUUAGUUGGUUUUUCAUGGUGUAUUUAACCGUUUGCUUGUGUGCACGGAGGAUUUGUGGAUUCCCCAAGCAAACACUGCUCCACUGGUUUUGGGAAGAUGACAGCACAUGCCCUAUAAUGGAGGAUGCCAUGCCAUCUAUAUCCAUAUCCAUACACAUAUUCCCUACAUUUCCCUCACCGCACAACGAAAAUAAAUAAGAAACCAACACGAACAUUGGAAUUAUCGGCUGAAUGUGUUUAAUAUUGCAAACAGUAUUUUCCUGGAGAAAACUUCAACAUUGUGUGCUUCAACAACUGUAAUUCCAGCACAUCAAAGAUUCAUAUCAAGAAAAUGAUGUUCUUUUAGAUGCUGUAUUUUCAGCUUCCACCAGAGCUGUAAUUGAAUCCAGCUCAAAGAGCAACCGUCUGCUGUGGAACCUUAGACUCCUAUAAAUAAACAGGCCGCACUCCUUCAACACUCGCCUAUAUGGCACAUGGAAUGGUUAGCUCAUGGCAAGAGCCCUCUGAUCUUACAGUUGGUAGCCACAACUAUUUUCUGUCAGCUAUGUGCUUUGCUUGACUCGAGUACUGUGUCAAGAAUGACGUCUUUGGAGAAUUCACAAAAUUGAGUCAGCCUACGCUGUACAAUGGCCUGGCAUGCAUUUGUUGUUGACUGUUACUGUGUAGUGUUGAUGUUGCUAACAGGGCAAUUUUAUAAUUCAAAGAUGCAAUAACAUAAAAUGAUCAUUUGGCCCAACCACUAGACGUAGUGAGGCCUUAAAAAGAGGAAAACAGAAUGAUCUUUUCAAACUAAAUUAAAUGUGUUUAUACUCUUCACUAAUAUAAAUAUAUUUGUAUCGUAGUAAAAGCUAUUUUUACUAUGUGAUAGGAUUGUCAUGUAUUAAUGAGCAACCGCGCCUGCUCAAACUGUACCAACAUUGGUGACAGAGAUUACACUCUGUAUGUUUGCAUAUCUGAUAAUACAUUACAAUUUUGCACAAGGAAGUGAGGUGAUUAUUGUUUUAAUGAAUGUUGAUCCGUCUCAGAAUGCUGCUUCACGUAGUGGAUGAAUUGUGACAAAGGGGUUUUAACUACAUUAUUGAAUUAGCGAGAAGCCGCAGCAGAUAUUCUGGAAAUGGGCUCUCCAAGCAUUUUUGUAAUAGUUUUCUUGCUGGCUUUUCCUGACUUGAAGCUAUUGCUGGCAAACGCUGUGGUAGAAUCAACUUAAUAAAACUCUCUCAAGGAACAAGCUGACUCAACAUGCUGAGGAUGUGCAGGCCCAAAGGACUAACUACUUUAUCUGAUGUUUCAUUAGGAUGUCACCCAUAUUACCAGAAGACAUCAGACUCAGAAUCAGAACCAGAAGCCAUUUAUUGCCAUGUAUGUUGACUUUGUACGUUAGUGCAGUAUAAGGAGAAUAAAAUAAGAUUGAGAUAAAAAUAUACAAUCAAGAAUCUGGCUGCACCACGACGCCAGAUGGUCAGACUCCCACCUGUAGGCGGACUCAUCCCCACCAGAGAUCAGUCCAAUGGGGGGGGGGGUCAUCUGCGAACUUCAGGAGCUUGACAUCCGCAAUAAAAGACAAUUUCUCUUACCUUAAAAUUCCCUCCAGAUGUGUCAGUGUAACGCAACAUUAAAAGUGAGGUGAUGAUUUACUUCGUUAUAAAAGAUGCAAUGAAACAUAAAUCACAUCAAUCAAUCAUUACCAGUGGACAUGUUGCAAACAAUAUAGCAGAAGGUAACAUGUAGAACAUCACUUUGCUCGUGCUCGUGGAGCACCAGUGACGAUAGGUGAUUAUGAUUACGUACUACAUAUUAGAUAUGGGUAAACUAUUGAUAUUUUUAUAAUUCAACCGAUACUUGAUUAUUCAAAAAUACAAUGAUUAUUCCACAGGUGAGAUAAGAAUAAUGCUAACUAAUUAUAGUGAAGGGACCAUUCACAAAGCAAUGAAACUAAUAUUUGCUUUUAUUUUUUACAGAUAAUCUUGCUUUGUUACAAUGCAGCUGAUGUACUCUGAAGUACAUUCAGUUCACUUAAAGCGCUUUACUGCUUCGCCGUAUCCGACAUGCUGAUACAGAUGACCGGCGGUAUGAGUCGAGCCAGCUGCGCUACGGUAAAGUGAAAGGUCAAAAGUCAGGGGCCUAAUGGACAGAGGGAGUGGCGGGUUGUCUCCCAUUACUGCAGCGGCCGCCUGAACUCAGCCAGACUGGAUGUUCCCUUUACCCAAUACGUUUGCUUUCUGGGUAACGACAACACUCGCGCCCGCCGCCGCCCCGCGCCUCGCUGCUCUCCCUGUCCGACCUUUAGGCCUGAGAAAAAAAGCCGGAAGUCAAGUGCAUGUUGCUGGUGAGCAAAGAAUGGCGCAGUGAAGCCAGCGGUCUUACUGUUGAUCCACCCAGGGGACAUCCGACAGGUCCUCUUAGGUCAAGCUAAAUAAAGAGGCAGUCAUCCUUAAAACACUUAGUGAUGGUAAUGUGUCAUUUAUGUUUUUUUGCUAAUGUUUUAUUUAUUACAUAAGGAUCAAUAUCUUACCGGGGGUUGCCGUGGGGUACAGUCGCAAUAUCAUAACAGAAAAUAAUAUUAUAUUCUAUUUGGAAUUUUGAAUGUAAUGAUACAACCAAAGAAAAGAGUUGAUUCCUGUGUGUUGACAAGAGCACCACCUAGAGACGGUACAACUGUAUUUAGGGGAAAUAUCUGAACACGCAGUCUCUGAAUUAUAGCUGGCUGCAACAAUACAUUCACAGUUAUUACAUUGCACUUGUUCAUUUUGCUGAUUGUCCUUCACCGUAUCUUCACUUUACAUGUAUGUUCUCGCUCUUGUAUCUCGCGCUACAAUCACAAUAUGACUGACAAAUGUGAAU